GAUUAAUGAAAGUAAUGGGAAUUUUAAUUUGAACAAGGUUUUAAAUUCUCACAAGAGCUGUUCAAUCCAUUCCAACACUGUUUAAGCAUCAGGCAUUGGCUUGUCAUUAGCUAUGUUGAUGACUCAUUAAUAGUCUUCAAAUGCACUUGUUUCAGGCACAAAUGCCAAGAAACUAUGGGUUUGAGGAAUGAUCUUCCAAUUAUUUUUCAUUCAGAAGAUGCAAGUACGAUGUUAAGAGAAAACUAGCAUCAUUUCUAUGAUAUGCAUUUGCUACACAAUAGUUACAGUACAUCUGGGAUAUCAUUGACACCAGAGGUUAUCCGUAUUUGAUAAAUGUGCUUUGGACUCCUGGUUAAAGGAUUAGCAUCACAUUUCUACUGAGUUAGUUUGCUCUCCAUGGAAAUAUAAGAUUUUCAUAUCAUUACAAGCUUACCUAACUUAAUGAGUCAGGGCCUAUUCAGUGGUGCAGAGAUGCAGGCUUUGGGAGAGGACAUGGAGGUAUUUGAAAUAUGCAGGGAGUAACAAGAGAGUGGAGGAGAUUAGAUCAGCAUGAUAUCCAACAAGCUUAGAUCAGAGUUAGUCCAGGAAGAAAGAGGUUGGGUCUAGGGUAAGUUGUUAUGGCUUUUUUCUUUGUUGUGGAUUCAUCAUCUUUAUUGAUUCAUGUUAUCAAGGUAACUGAUAGGAUCAGGCAUUCAUGUAGUUUGCACAAAAAUAUUCCCGAGGCCUCAAAAUAUUCUCAGCCCUUUUCAAUAGUGUAAACCAACAUCGAUGGUUUAAUACUGUAAAGAUAAGAUACAAAAGCUUAAAGUUACAGAAAGUUGAUGAUACCUGUGCUGAGAUAUACACUGACACAAAAUGCUGGACUGACUCCACGGUUCAGGCAGCAUCUCUGGAGAAAUGAAUUAGAUGACGUUUCGGGUCACAACCCUUCUUCAGACUGAGAGUCGGGUGAGGGAAACCAGAGGCAUUUCAGGACUUUUGGAAGGUGUGACACUGGAUUACACAGCCAGAUCAUCCUGUACCAGGCAACGUGAGAGGCCAGGCAUCAAGAGGAAUUGGCUGUGGAAGAAUAAAAGCAGGCGCUACUGGAUCUGCUCCAUGUAUCUUAUACGAGUCACACCCUGGCCACUCCCUCUUCUCCCCUCUUCCAUCAGGCAAAAGGUAUGGGUGUGAAAACGCACACCUCCAGAUUCAGGAAAAGUUUCUUCUCAGCUGUUAUCAGGCAAUUGAAUCAUCCUACCACAACCAGAGAGCAGUGCCGAACUACUAUCUACCUCAUUGGUGAUCAUUGGACUAUCCUUGACCGGUCUUUGCUGGCUUUACCUUGAACUAAAUGUUAUUAUCUUAUCAUUCCGGUGGGCGGCGUGACUCACGUCGCAGCGGCCUCUGCAGUCCGUCUGUCUUUUUGUUUUUUUUGUGUCCCGUUUUAAUGUAGUUUUUAUUUUUUUUUGAUGGGGUGUGUGUG